CCUACGGGCGGCUGCAGUGGGGAAUAUUGGACAAUGGGGGCAACCCUGAUCCAGCCAUGCCGCGUGUGUGAAGAAGGCCCUCGGGUUGUAAAGCACUUUCAGUGAGGAAGAACGCCUGGUGGUUAAUACCCAUCAGGAAAGACAUCACUCACAGAAGAAGCACCGGCUAACUCCGUGCCAGCAGCCGCGGUAAUACGGAGGGUGCGAGCGUUAAUCGGAAUUACUGGGCGUAAAGCGCGCGUAGGUGGCUUGAUAAGCCGGUUGUGAAAGCCCCGGGCUCAAACUGGGAACGGCAUCCGGAACUGUCAAGCUAGAGUGCAGGAGAGGAAGGUAGAAUUCCCGGAGUAGCGGUGAAAUGCGUAGAGAUCGGGAGGAAUACCAGUGGCGAAGGCGGCCUUCUGGACUGACACUGACACUGAGGUGCGAAAGCGUGGGUAGCAAACAGGAUUAGAUACCCCAGUAGUC
rnacentral:rRNA from 1 species